UGAGUGAUGAGUGGGUCUCGAUGGAAAAUUAAAUAUCAGCAAGUGAUAAUCUCUGCAUCCUUCACAAAACAUCCUGGCCUGAUCAUAAUGUAGAUUGACUGAGCCGCGGGAGGCUGGGGAGGCCUGAUGACGUUGGUGGUUCCAUAUCCGCAGAAGCAAGCGACGACACGCCGCCGCCGAUGCAAUUUCGCCGCUGCAGUCUGCAGUAGAAAAGUGGCGCAGCGCAGUUCUCGUGAGCACCGCGUGCGACGUGCGGCGCUGGCGUCGUCGCAAGCGCAUUGCUAGUAGGAAAGUUGCUUAUGACGUCGGAAAGUGUCACGUUGAACCAUGGUGAACCGCGACCGCGUCUUCGGUUGCUGGCCUACUCACCAAAUUGUCAUUCUAUCAAUCCGUCACCAUGACUUUAUCUUCACCAUCUGACAGCUACACUCACACUGUUUAAAAAUAUGUCGUUGUCUUACCGUUCUUUGGCAUUAACAAUUUCGCCGUGAUAGAUUGUUUGCCUCGGUGAAUUGCGGCAAAUAUUAAGUACUGACGUCAUGUGUUUGACUAGGUACCUAGUAUAAAUUUGUACCUAUUUAUACUUGGUACUGUUGUUGUAUUUAUAUGUUUUCAUUUCAGAUGUAGAAACUAUAUCUUCUCAUUUAUACCCAACGUUCACUAAUUUAUAUAUUAUAAUUAUAAUGCACGGUUCAUUAUAUAGGCCGUUUCAGUUAUAGUUAAAAAAUACAUGUAGGUUUAAGCUUUUUCUUAUAAUAUCAAUUUGUUCCAUUGAUUAUAAUGCAGCAAAGUAGGAUUAUAUUGGUGAGCCGUGUUAUGAUAGCCAAAAUGAAUGUUGAAUGCUAAAUUUUGAAAUUUCAACAAAACCGCCAGAUUGCUCGGGGAAUCGUUGUUUUGUUCAUAUUACGUUUUAAGUUCUUGAAAAUAAGUAAGAGCUCUGUUAUGAAACAACUACAAAUUUAAGAAAAAAAUAUAUAUUCGCAAAAUGAGCUGAAUAAUAGGCAAGUUGUUAAAGCUUCAGAGCGGAUGCGAGCGUGAGCGUGACGCGAAUCAUCGACCUCUGGUUUUGUAACGUUCGGUGGCGAAACAGAGGUCAAUGACAAGGCCUAGCUUGCAACAACACCAUUCUAUUUCAUACCUCUUUUUUAUUCAUUCCGGUUUUAAUUUUGACGACUCUUCGCGUUUAGUUUUCUGUGAUCACAAAAAAAUAUAUAGGUUUUUGCAGAAUCGAUUUUUGCAAAUCUCUAAAGUAGGUCUGAAAAUAAAAGCAUUAAUGAAAGAAAUAAAUACAUUCCUACCAAAAUUACCAAUAUAUGUAAGUGUUAAUGUUGAGAGUAGAGAAAUUGGAUCGUAGCAAGUCGAUAUCCAUAGUCUUCUAUCAUGAUUCAGGGCUGUUUUUCAUGUAGAUAAACGGGAAUCGAACUAUGUGUGUAGAAGAGUCAAAAUAAAAUUUCACAAAGUAGUUUUAUUGACUCAGUGUUUUUCAGAGCAUGGAUACCUAUUCAUGCUGGAAAGUAUAGAAUGUUGUAUUUUUGCAUUCUGGAAAGUAAUAAUACGAUAACGAACAUUAAGUAAAAAGUGCAAUAGACGCUAGGUUUAUGAAAAAAAUGUACCAUCCUGUAAGCAACACGUGCAAAGUUAUGGAUAUCAUGACUAUUGAUCAAACAUUUCUCAUUGCACAAUCAGACAAUCAUGAUUUUAAAGAACAAAAUCAUGGCUAUAAAGAAAAUCUACCCUGUUUGCAAACAAAUGGAAGGAUAUAUCAUAAUUUGGUGUGAUGGGCUGCGGAUAUUCGCGUAUUCCAUGAAUUGAUUUUUGUCGAUACCAUCGAACAAUGGAUAUGUGAGCUAGUCGUGCUGUACAAGUUGGCAGAAUGGGGGGCACAUGGUCGGAGGUGGAGUGUGAGGGGGGAGGUACGCACACAACGUCGCAAUCGCAACCAACGAAACGAAAAUUUGUGAGGGCAAUGACCGGCAGUGGCACAAGCAAACGUCAGGUUGAUUCACUUUUCAUCUACGCUCACUCUGCAAUGGACAUUUUAAUUUUGUUUACAUAAAGCACCUAAUUAGGGGCUCAAAUUAAGACAAUGAUUCUUGAUAUUUCAUUAUUAAGCUAAUUAUUAAGUGAAUUUGUUUAGUUAUUAUUACAUAACUCACAUGCACAUUGCUUUUUUGUAUUUACCAUAUACAGUGCAGUCACAUUAGUAAUUGUCUGAAGUCUGAAACAUAGUG